AGGAGAUGAGUUUUGAAUCUUUUGAUUGAUGAUAAUGUUAUGAGCAAUAAUUGGGCAGACAGAUGACAUAUUCAAGCAUUUAUUUACGAAAUUCUUACACAGAUGAGGGCAAUAUGAGUAGAAAAGCCACAAUUGAAGCAGCUUCAAUGAUCAUGAUCUAAAAGUAAGAGCAUGUGGUUUCUGCAAUUCUUGAACUUUAAAAAAAUAAAAGGUUGGAAAGUAUCAUCUCCUGAAGCAUCCAGUUGGCGACACAAGCGCAACGAAGACAGCACAAAAGUUAACGACGACAACCACACUGAAACUAAUCCGCGGGCUGUGAUGCUUCCAUCUUCUGAUUUGAAUCAAUCUCCUACCUAGAACCUGCCAUUACAAUGUAAAAUGCAACUUUAUGCGUUAGGCAACCCCAAAUAAGCUUUUUGAAACAUAAUUGUGUGCCCAAAUAGUUUAACUAACAAGCGUUUAAGAAACUGCAUGCAUGCAUGUAGAGUUCAGAAAAUCUCAUCCCACAGAAGAUACUGUACAUUUGUAUCACAAGAUCUUUCUAAUUUCAACUGAAUGGUAUUGAUGACUUUGCUCCUCUUUUGGUUUGAAAAUUAUAGUUCAUGACAAAGAACAUGAUGAUGGUUAACAGUCAAGAAAUUCUCUGAAUCCUUGUUCCAUGAUCGACACGAAUUCCUUAUAAAAGAAGAGGUUUAAGGCUUGUAAAUGCACAUCGACUUUUGUAAGUGGGACAGCAUACCCAAGAUCCCUUAGUACAAAAGAAGACAAAUUUACAUUAGCUACCUUAAAUUAGUUUUGACAAUCUUUACAUCUGAAACCAUUUUCUGACUAUGGACGGCAAUCCACCCGGUAGCUGGUUCUCAAAGAAAUCAAUUAAGAUAACCUAAUAUUUCAUGCAAAUGAGUACACAGUUGUAUGAAGUAACUAAGUCUACAGCAAGGUUCCAGCAGUAGUAAGUGUGAAGUACCAGUUGCACAUAAAGCAGGACAGGAACAUUUUUAUUCACGGAAAUGAAUGGAAGACAUGAAAGCUGAACCACAGAAAACGCCCUGCCAAACAAUAUCUGCCGCGAAAUAGUCAAGAGAACCCACACCCUAAACUUGGCACCUUGCCUUAUUCUUACACCCUAAGACCCCAACAAGCAGAAACUACUAAAAUGAUGAUUACUGUUAAAAAUAACCUCCUACUAAAAGAAAGUGUCAUAACCCUCAACCUGCCUUGCCAGUCCUUCAUGCACUUAGUGUAACACUCGCUGACGAGGUUUUGUACCAGUUUCCAAUUCUCAGUGAAAAAAAACAGUACAGAACACCUUGUCACACAUCCUAAGUCUAGAAAAUGAUUAUGCAUACAUGAACGCAAAGCUAAAAUUGAAAGUAAAAGCUGUAAAACGUAAUGAAUCUUUUAGAUCAUUUCACACCCAACACUUGCACCUGACUGAUUUUUNUUUUCUUUCACAGUUUUGUGAUUGUCUAAGCGCAAGUAGAUCAAUCAAAUGAGUAGAUAGCUGAAAGAUUAAUUGCAGACCCACUAGGAACUUCUAAUAAGAAUUCAACUACUGCCCAAAGAACACUUAGAUGGACCAGAGAAAUGUAAGAGAACACACCUAAGAAAUAUGAUCAAACUGGUGCAUCAUUGCAAAGGGUUGGUAGCUGGUAUAAACCCUAUGUAGUGAGUACAUCUUUAUGUCAAGAAAAAGAGUCUCACAGAAACUUAAAGCAAGUCUCGUAUUUAAUAAAUAAUGCAAUUAAGCGAACACACACCAGGGAACGGCUUUUACCACUACUACCAUUACAAUGAGCUCAAGCAGCACGUAUGUUUCAAACUCAAGCUUAAGCAUGAGAAAAGAGAGGAAAUUUUUAUCACUACAUUUUUUUAUCUCAUGUUCUCUAGGGAGGAAAACAUGGUAAAAUAUAUCAAAUCACUAUCCUAUGAUAAUAUUAACAUGAAUUGGAGGGAAAAUGAAUUUUUUUCUCAUGCUGAAUGGGGAAAAUUAUCCACCACAUAUAACUUGUGAAAAGAGUGGGAAAAUGGUGAAAAUAUAUGUUUUCCACCAUUUUUCAUCAAAGAGAACGCACCCCAAGAGUCAGAACAGUUCAAAAUGGGAGAGUCAUGACAAUGUAGCCGAGAGUUCAAGGGCCAUCCAUUCAAAGCUUCUACCAUGAGAGUGCAUCAUUUCUUUUUUCUUUCAAAGCAUAUAAUUUGCGACUUUUAAUAAAUAGAAAUCUCAUUUUUAAUUAACAAUAGAACUCAUGAAACUCCCAGCAGAAUGGACGCAAAACUAAAAACAGACUCACGAAACAGAAGUGUUCAUUUCAUACAGACCUCGGCGGCUCAGAAUUCGCAUUUAAAUUCCGAUGCAGAAC
rnacentral:lncRNA from 1 species